rnacentral:tRNA from 1 species
GAGGGUGUAGCUCAGUGGUAGAGUGUGUGCUUAGCAUGCACGAGGUCCUGGGUUCAACCCCCAGUACCUCCA